rnacentral:rRNA from 1 species
UGGGGAAUAUUGCACAAUGGAGGGAACUCUGAUGCAGCGACGCCGCGUGAGUGAUGAAGGAAUUCGUUUCGUAAAACUCUGUUCUAUGGGAAAAAAAGGACUGUACCAUAGGAGAAAGCUCCGGCUAAAUACGUGCCAGCAGCCGCGGUAAUACGUAUGGAGCGAGCGUUGUCCGGAAUUAUUGGGCGUAAAGGGUGCGCAGGCGGCUUUACAAGUUGGAUGUGAAAUAUUGUGGCUCAACCACAAACGUGCAUCCAAAACUGCAAAGCUUGAGUUAAGGAGAGGUAAGUGGAAUUCCUGGUGUAGCGGUGGAAUGCGUAGAUAUCAGGAGGAAUACCGGUGGCGAAGGCGACUUACUGGACUUAAACUGACGCUCAGGCACGAAAGCGUGGGGAGCAAACAGG